rnacentral:rRNA from 1 species
GACAGAGGGUGCAAACGUUGUUCGGAAUUACUGGGCGUAAAGCGCGUGUAGGCGGCUAAGUAAGUCGGGCGUGAAAUCCCCAGGCUCAACCUGGGAACUGCACUCGAAACUGCGUUUCUUGAGUAUCGGAGAGGAAAGCGGAAUUCCUGGUGUAGAGGUGAAAUUGUAGAUAUCAGGAGGAACACCGGUGGCGAAGGCGGAUCUCUGGGCCUUACCUGACGCUGAGGCGCGAAAGCUAGGGGAGCAACAGGG